UAUAUAUUCAGUACACAUAUAUAUACCUCUUGUUAACAUCUUUAAGAGAAGAAACUGACUGUCUCACCAGCUGGUCAGGAGGACACGAAGGGAGAAACAACUUCAGGAUACACUUACAAGAGGGUGAAACGUGAUGGAAAAUCAAACGUCUAGUAACUCAUUCCACCAGAAUAUCACGUACGGCUGUAAUGAGGGGGAAUAUGCCAUCUAUGUGUCUUCGUUGUUCUUCGCUGGUGUUGGUCUCCCUUUGGCCCUCGUUGCGAUCAUCGCUCUUCGUUCAGUGGUACGAGCGGACCACGUUGCCCCCGUGUACGUCAUCAACCUCCUGAUCUCCGACCUCCUUCAGCUUUGCUGCACCGUCGUUUUCGUGGCAACAAAUCAGACGAAAAUUUGCAAAUACUUUUACCACAUUUUUAACUAUGGUCUCAUGGUCAGCAUUUGCUUCAUGGUGAUCAUCUCCUUGG